UCUGCAAACCAAGAAGAGAGCCUUCACCAAAACCCUUCCAUGCUGGCACCUUGACCUUGAACUUAUGGCCUCCAGAAUUAAGAAGAUGAAUUGAAAUCGUAUUGAAGGGACUUGGAUGACUCCAUCAAAUGUCUCCUCAUCCCAGGGAUAAUGUUUAAAACGUCAUCUAAUCUGGACAAAAAUAUUUGAAAACAAACAAACAAAAAAGGCGGGGGGCACCAGUGAGCAUACGGAGACUGUAUUACGUAAGAAGAAAGGAAGAUGUGAAUAUAGUAGAGACUGGAGGAGUUCACAUUUCAAGUUUCAAGGAGACACAGAAGAUAGCCAAUUGUAGAAAAGAAGAAAAAACUUUAAAGGUAAAGAAUAAAAGAAACAUAUCUACCUAAAAGAAACAUAUCUACCUAUCAAUUAUCUAGAUAUAGGUAGAGGUAUACAGAGAUGGAGACAUAAAUACAUAUAUAUAUGUAGAUAUAUAGAUCCAUGUAAAGAGAGAUAUAGACACAGAAAAAAGAAAAAAUGAAGGAGUGAAGAAAGGCACCAU
rnacentral:lncRNA from 10 species